UAGAUCGGGUAGAGGUACUGUUCCAGUAUAGAUCGGGUAGAGGUACUGUUCCAGUAUAGAUCGGGUAGAGGUACUGUUCCAGUAUAGAUCAGGUAGAGUUACUGUUGCAGUAUUGUUCCAGUAUAGGUCAGGUAGAGGUACUGUUGCAGUAUUGUUCCAGUAUAGGUCAGGUAGAGGUAUUGUUCCAGUAUAGGUCAGGUAGAGGUACUGUUCCAGUAUUGUUCCAGUAUAGGUCAGGUAGAGGUACUGUUCCAGUAUAGGUCAGGUAGAGGUACUGUUCCAGUAUAGGUCAGGUAGAGGUACUGUUCCAGUAUAGGUCAGGUAGAGGUACUGUUCCAGUAUAGAUCGGGUAGAGGUACUGUUCCAGUAUAGAUCGGGUAGAGGUACUGUUCCAGUAUAGAUCGGGUAGAGGUACUGUUCCAGUAUAGAUCAGGUAGAGUUACUGUUCCAGUAUUGUUCCAGUAUAGAUCAGGUAGAGGUACUGUUCAAGUAUAGGUCAGGUAGUGGUAUUGUUCCAGUAUUGUUCCAGUAUAGAUCAGGUAGAGGUACUGUUCCAGUAUUGUUCCAGUAUAGGUCAGGUAGAUGUACUGUUCCAGUAUAGGUCAGGUAGAGAUACUGUUCCAGUAUUGUUCCAGUAUAGGUCAGGUAGACGUACUGUUCCAGUAUAGAUCAGGUAGAGAUACUGUUCCAGUAUAGGUCAGGUAGAGGUACUGUUCCAGUAUAGGUCAGGUAGAGGUACUGUUCCAGUAUAGGUCAGGUAGAGGUACUGUUCCAGUAUAGGUCAGGUAGAGGUA